AUACAGAGGGUGCGAGCGUUAAUCAGAAUUACUGGGCGUAAAGCGCGCGUAGGCGGUCUAUUAAGUCAGAUGUGAAAUCCCAGGGCUCAACCUUGGAACUGCAUCUGAUACUGGUAGACUAGAGUUUUGGAGAGGGAAGUAGAAUUUCAGGUGUAGCGGUGAAAUGCAUAGAGAUCUGAAGGAAUACCAGUGGCGAAGGCGACUUCCUGGCCAAAAACUGACGCUGAGGUGCGAAAGCGUGGGUAGCAAACGGGAUUAGAAACCCGGGUAGUCC
rnacentral:rRNA from 1 species